rnacentral:lncRNA from 7 species
GCAUCCUCUUGAACAAGGAUUGUUCACAGGACUGAAAAUGAGCAAGCAGCAAUUUUUCAGACUGACUUGCUAAAUGAGUGAAGACAACUAAUUUCACCUCUGACUCAGUUCAUACUGAUGUUUUUUAUCUUUGGCUCCUCCAUCUCUAAAGUCUUCCUUUGCAUCAAGAGCUAAGGCUUCAACUUUUGUUUUUAUCAAAAAAACAAACGAACCAAAACACAAUCUGCUUUAAGAACUCUUAGGCCUCCCGGAGAAGUCCAGUGAAAAUGAGAAGACUGCAUGCAGUUUGUCUGAGGAUUGACUGUAAAAAUAAGCAUACUAACUAUACAGCUCUUAAAUGCUAAUCUCUGCAAUAGAAAACCUGGAAGAAAAUACUUGUCUGCUUUGCAUCGCAUCCUCAGUGUUUCUGUGGGAAAAUAUAACAAUCUCCUUUCAGAAUUAAUAGUAGUAUCCAUUUUAGAUACUUCUAGCAAUCAUAAUGAACUGUACAGCUACACAAGUGCUUUGUCCUUUAUACAGGAUAUUUCCAAAAGGAAAGUCGAAAACGAAACUGUAUAAAUGAAAAUGAAGAACAUUCAAGAAGGCAUAAUCAUAUCCUAAUAGUAAUUUUAACUUCUUUGGCCAAAAUGAAGUCUCAGAAUCACAAACGUUGAGUUGAGUAAACAUGGCUCUUGCAUUGUGUUGAGCCCUCUAGGCUUGAUUUGAAAUGAAUAGAAGUUGAAUAGUCACUGAAAAUCUUUCUCAAGUAAUACUUGUGUCAGGUACGAUGCUUCAAACAAAGGAUUUAGAUCCCAGAUAAAACAUGAAUAUUCAGGGCAUAAAGUGCAAUUAUUGUCAAUCUCAAUUAAAAAAAUAAUUGAAC